AGCAGCUGCACUGUUCUGGGCUGUUCUCUGGGUCCCUGUGGCAGUCAGUUGGCAGGGAAGCUUGGAGGGGGCCCCUCCACUGGCGAAGAGCACGGAAGACUGAACCCACCAGAAGUGGGCUGGAACACCCGACUGUCAACUGAGAGAAACGGUCCCCGGGGACCAGCCACGGACUGAUUACUGACAACUCUAUUUUCAGAAAGAGCCACAAGGUAAAGACUAGUCCACGAACGAGCGAGCGAAGCCACUCUGAGGAGAGCUGGGUCAGAAACUUUUUCUGUAAAGGACCAGAUGGCACAUAUUUUAGGUUUUGUGGACCAUACCAUCUCUAGUGCAAUGACAACCCUACUGUUGCAGCAUGAAAGCAGCCAUAGACAGGACAACCCUGACUCUGGAGGUAGGCGUGGGCCAGAUGGCUCAGGGGAAGAAUCAACUGACGGAUACACACAACACGAAAACACUCAAGCUCACUAAUAACCAUGGAAGGGGACAAAUGACAGUAAGACCCUUUGGAAAUGUUUUAAACAAGGAAAAGAUGUGGUCAGAAGAUAGCUCUUCUUCCAACCGGAAAGUUCAAUGUCACACAUGACUCCAGAUUCCAAUGGUCCAGAUCCCAGAUUUUUCUGGAUCAAAAUAGCAACAGAAACACUGGACUUCCAUGGAAUCAGUCGUAAAUCAACGGUGCCAUUUCUACUAUGAACUGGACAGCUGCUACUACCCUCAUGAUUCUGCUGUGCGCAUUCCUGGUGUGGUUUAUAUCAAACAGCUUUCUGACGUGCUCCCUUUUGAGUCUGUAAUGAGGAGCCUAAGCCAACCCACUGCAUCGAGAAGGUCAGUGCAUACAACUCUUCAAUAGGCCACUCUAUUUACUCCCCUGACAACCACCGGGAACCUGUUUUGUCCUGAGACGACCUGACCCAUUGCCGGUGACACAAAGUUCCCAAUCUAUACACACAUUAUGUUCCAGAAAUCCAUUUAAAUGUCCAUGAGGAUAUAUCUUCCCAUAAAAACAAUGUUACAGAUGUUCUCACUAAGAUGCCUCUACUGCAUAAUACGGCUGGAUUAGAGGACAAAGAACAUGCCCACGAUAAGUUUGCGCUUAGGACUUUUCUAUUAAGUACUUAAUUUAGCCUUUAAAAACACUGUUAUUAAGUAAAUACUGCUAUU